CAACCUGCCGCUUACUCGGGGAUAGCCUUUCGAAAGAAAGAUUAAUACCCGAUGGUAUAAAGAGUUCGCAUGUUCUCUUUAUUAAAGAAUUUCGGUAAGCGAUGGGGAUGCGUUCCAUUAGAUUGUUGGCGGGGUAACGGCCCACCAAGUCUACGAUGGAUAGGGGUUCUGAGUGGAAGGCCCCCCACAUUGGAACUGAGACACGGUCCAAACUCCUACGGGAGGCAGCAGUGAGGAAUAUUGGUCAAUGGACGCGAGUCUGAACCAGCCAAGUAGCGUGAAGGAUGACUGCCCUAUGGGUUGUAAACUUCUUCUAUAAGGGAAUAAAGUGAGGGACGUGUCCCUUUUUGUAUGUACCUUAUGAAUAAGGAUCGGCUAACUCCGUGCCAGCAGCCGCGGUAAUACGGAGGAUCCAAGCGUUAUCCGGAUUUAUUGGGUUUAAAGGGAGCGUAGGUGGAUUGUUAAGUCAGUUGUGAAAGUUUGCGGCUCAACCGUAAAAUUGCAGUUGAAACUGGCAGUCUUGAGUACAGUAGAGGUGGGCGGAAUUCGUGGUGUAGCGGUGAAAUGCUUAGAUAUCACGAAGAACUCCGAUUG
rnacentral:rRNA from 1 species